UACAGAGGGUGCGAGCGUUAAUCGGAUUUACUGGGCGUAAAGGGCGUGUAGGUGGGUGAGUGAGUCAGAUGUGAAAGUCCCGGGCUUAACCUGAGGAUUGCAUUUGAUACUGCUUGUCUAGAGUGAAGUAGAGGAUAGUAGAAUUUCCAGUGUAGCGGUGAAAUGCGUAGAUAUUGGAAAGAAUACCGGUGGCGAAGGCGGCUAUCUGGACUUUAACUGACACUGAGGCGCGAAAGCGUGGGGAGCGAACAGG
rnacentral:rRNA from 1 species